rnacentral:rRNA from 1 species
UCGAACGGAAAGGCCUCUUCGGAGGUACUCGAGUGGCGAACGGGUGAGUAACACGUGGGCAAUCUGCCCUGCACUUCGGGAUAAGCCUGGGAAACUGGGUCUAAUACCGGAUAGGACCUCAAGACGCAUGUCUUCUGGUGGAAAGCUUUUGCGGUGUGGGAUGGGCCCGCGGCCUAUCAGCUUGUUGGUGGGGUGACGGCCUACCAAGGCGACGACGGGUAGCCGGCCUGAGAGGGUGUCCGGCCACACUGGGACUGAGAUACGGCCCAGACUCCUACGGGAGGCAGCAGUGGGGAAUAUUGCACAAUGGGCGCAAGCCUGAUGCAGCGACGCCGCGUGGGGGAUGACGGCCUUCGGGUUGUAAACCUCUUUCACCAUCGACGAAGGUCCGGGUUUUCUCGGAUUGACGGUAGGUGGAGAAGAAGCACCGGCCAACUACGUGCCAGCAGCCGCGGUAAUACGUAGGGUGCGAGCGUUGUCCGGAAUUACUGGGCGUAAAGAGCUCGUAGGUGGUUUGUCGCGUUGUUCGUGAAAUCUCACGGCUUAACUGUGAGCGUGCGGGCGAUACGGGCAGACUAGAGUACUGCAGGGGAGACUGGAAUUCCUGGUGUAGCGGUGGAAUGCGCAGAUAUCAGGAGGAACACCGGUGGCGAAGGCGGGUCUCUGGGCAGUAACUGACGCUGAGGAGCGAAAGCGUGGGGAGCGAACAGGAUUAGAUACCCUGGUAGUCCACGCCGUAAACGGUGGGUACUAGGUGUGGGUUUCCUUCCUUGGGAUCCGUGCCGUAGCUAACGCAUUAAGUACCCCGCCUGGGGAGA